GUUUUUCUAAAACUAGCUACCUAGAGAAGAUUUGGUGGAGUUUUACUUCUAAAGGAUUAUUGGAUCUUGAUGCAGGGAUAGAAAGUGAGGACGAUGGUCCUUUUACUGGUUUUGAUGGUUGAUAGACCAUCUGCUGCAGGAUUUAUGCUUACUCUAUGGAGCAAGUCUCAUUUAUGUUAAUCGCUUUUAUUAUGUAUGGUGAUGUAUGUAAACUUAAUAGAUAUUACUAUGUUAAUUUAGGUGCCGUCUGUGGCAUAUAUUUGGUACACCUAGUGUGUACAUAUGUUGUAAUGAAAACCAUGUUUCUAUUUUAUUUAAUAAUAUAUCACUUCGAGGUAUUUCAGUCA